rnacentral:lncRNA from 1 species
GUGCAUAAAAUGCACUUAUCAAUCUCUACUAGUUAUUCAGAGAAAAGCAUAUCUUAAGUGGUGUGAGCUUCAAAGUGAAAUUUCUUUGCUUUUGGUUGUUCAAUUCUUUGAAUGUUUCAACCAUGUGUAUUAUGACUUCAAGUUCCAAAAGUUAAUGGUCAUUGUCUAGCUCUUGCAAGUGACAUAGGUACCAAGUUAAUGUUUUGGAUUGCCUGCUUGUAGGAGGAUUAUCUCUAUUGCUAUGUUGUGCAUCACUGUCAUCCACAGAGAGAACUUUCAUCUCAUAUAUAUGUUGCUGUCUAGGAAAUUGAGGGAUGGACUGCAAGGUUGCGUCCCUCUACGCAAGUAAUGUAUAAAAAAUAUUGUACAUUAAUAAUUGGAUGAUGAUCACUCGGUGAAUAUUGGGCUAUCAACCUGGUCAUAUGAUAAUAUAUAUGUUCUGCACGUGUAAAUUUAUUUCAUGGAAUAUUAUUUGGGUAUCUCUUAUUCAAAUUUUUACUAAGAUAUCUUCAAUUGAUAUGUGAAUGGGAUAUCUCCAUUCCCAAAUAGCUUUCACAUCUUUUUAUAAGUAUCUCAUGGUGUCUCUUCAGGUUUUUAUGUUUUUAUCUCAUGCUAUUUCCAGAGAGCCAAGGUCAUUUUUUAACUCCUUAAUUAUAGAUUGCAUCAGCCCAUGUCAUCAGGACAACACUAUAGGCUAACAUAAAAUGCUUGUGAAGCUCAUUUAAAUGCUCAAUUAUCAAGAUUCUGCUUUAUCUUGAAUGUUCCCAGUUAAUUGUGAAUCGUGAAUUAUUCUUCUUUUCACUAUCGUGGCUAUAUAUGCACUAUUGGACAGCUUAAAGCAAAUUGGUGAGUUCCUGUUUGAAAAAUAUGGAGGUUAAGACUUGGAUGUCAUGUAAGUUCAGUACACUUUAUGAAUGAUAAAUCUUAUUGCCAUUUAAUACUUGGAUGUCGUGUAAGUUCAACACACUUAAUGAAUGAUAAGUCUUAUUGCCAUUUAAUAAACAGAAUUUGUGAAUACUGAAUUGAUUGUCUGAAGUUGUAAUCUUAUUUUUUUCCUCUUUCCCGAGUUUAAGCAAUCAUGGAGAAAAAAAGGAGAGAGUAAACUAUGAUAUUGGUUGUUCUUAGAGUAAACUAUUAUAUUGGUUGUUCUUAUUUACUUUUAUCCAAAAUCAAAAACUUUUUGCUUAUAAAAUUGUACAAUUAGUUAGUCUCGAUUUACUUUUGAUCAGGUCUUUGUUUUAUUUUCUUUCGAUUUUCUUGUUUGUGAAAGAGCUUGCUAUCAUAUGCUGAUCUCUUUCUGCUUUUUUGUGGAUUUUGUUUAUGUAUAUUAUAACAUUAUGGCAAUGAAGAUGAUUUUUGAUGGGAAGCUAAGCAUUCCUGAUGGGCAGGAGAUUCACAAGGACUUUGAUUUGUUUGUGAUUGAAGCUGCAGUGCUGGAGUUCGUGCCUCACAAUUUCCUAGUCUAUAACUCAUUUUUCAUUGUCUAUGCACCAUUUGUGCUAAAAGUCUAGUAGACAUUUGUAACUAAGAUAUUAAGGUGCAUUGGCACAUUUCAUGGUUAAAUAUAGGUUAUUUAAAUUAAUGUAAUGAUUAUUAAUAAUUAUUUUAUAUGCAAU